GGUUGAAUGGCUUAAUGGAAAGAACACGAGCUUGGGAGUCAGAGGUCACGGGUUCUAAUCCCGUUUCCUCUA
rnacentral:tRNA from 1 species